CCUACGGGGGGCAGCAGUGAGGAAUAUUGGUCAAUGGACGAGAGUCUGAACCAGCCAAGUCGCGUGAAGGAUGACUGCCCUGUGGAUUGUAAACUUCUUUUAUAAGGGAAUAAAACGAGGGACGUGUGCCUUUUUGCAUGUACUUUAUGAAUAAGCAUCGGCUAACUCCGUGCCAGCAGCCGCGGUAAUACGGAAGGUCCGGGCGUUAUCCGGAUUUAUUGGGUUUAAAGGGAGCGUAGGCCGGUCUUUAAGCGUGCCGGGAAAGUUUGUGGCUCAACCAUGGGAGUGCGGCGCGAACUGGAGACCUUGAGUUCGAGGAAGGCAGGCGGAAUGCGUGGUGUAGCGGUGAAAUGCUUAGAUAUCACGAAGAACCCCGAUUGCGAAGGCAGCCUGCCGCAUCGAUACUGACGCUGAAGCUCGAAAGCGCGGGUAUCGAACAGGAUUAGAUACCCUUGUAGUC
rnacentral:rRNA from 1 species